AUUGAACGCUGGCGGCAGGCCUAACACAUGCAAGUCGAGCGAGCGGCGGACGGGUGAGUAAUGUCUGGGAAACUGCCUGAGGGGGGGGGAUAACUAAUGGAAACGGUAGCUAAUACCGCAUACCAUCAGAUGUGCCCCGAUGGGAUUAGCUAGUAGGUGGGGGAACGGCCCACCUAGGCGACGAUCCCUAGCUGGUCUGAGAGGAUGACCAGCCAAACUGGAACUGAGACACGGCCCAGACUCCUACGGGAGGCAGCAGUGGGGAAUUUUGCACAAUGGGCGCAAGCCUGAUGCAGCCAUGCCGCGUGUGUGAAGAAGGCCUUCGGGUUGUAAAGCACUUUCAGCAGGGAGGCGUUACCCGCAGAAGAAGCACCGGCUAACUCCGUGCCAGCCGCCGCGGUAAUUC
rnacentral:rRNA from 1 species